rnacentral:misc_RNA from 1 species
GAAAGCAUCCCAUUUGCAUUUUCACAAAUUGAGAGAAAAAGAGAUCUAUAGCAUGAGAAACUUUGAUUCACGAAAAUGUCUGAGAUAUUUGAGAUGCUUGUAAACACUAGGCACUCAACACUUCAAAGUGGUGCUGACAUAAACAGCUACAGGAACUCUAACAAUAUGAUUUCUACUUCCGUGCAAUACUAUCUCUCCAAAUCUGUGAGUUCUUGUUACCCUGGUUGCCUUUAACAUAAUCCUAAGAUGCCUUGAGGCAUUACCUCUUAUCCAGAAAACUUUUGGCGUGACAGUAACAUUUACACCAAUCGGUUCCCUGACAGUCACUCUGUAUUCUUCAUUCCUUCUACUAACAUUCGUUACACAUCGAACCACUUUUCUUGACCCAACUAGAUUUGAAACCGUCACACUUGCUGUAUUCAAAUCUGAACACCAUGCUCCUCUCCGUAUUGGGCACCCAAUUCCUGCAGCUCGUCUUACAGAAUCAUCAUCAACACCAGGAACAGCACAAAGAAACUCAACAUAGUGCUCAAAAUGGGCAUCAAAUAUGAGUCCUGGGUCAAUGGCCCGAGCUGGAUUAAUUGAUCCAGCCCCCAUAUCAAAUGGGGUAGCAGGAGUUAGCUGGUUAGUUGAUUGUGCCAAAAUGUUAGAGCCAGCAUGAUCAGUUGUAUCAGCAGUUGUCAUCAUUGCCGAAGCAAUAGCUGCAGGACUCCACUUUGGGUGCUUUUGCUUUAUCAAAGCUGCAAUGCCAGCUAUGUGAGGAGUUGCCAUGCUAGUACCGGAGACAAGUGCAAAGUUUUUCCCUUUGAUAUUAGGAUCUCCCUCACUAUUUGGGCUCCAUGCAGCCCAAAUAGAGGAUCCUGGAGCCAUGAUAUUUGGUUUGAGGACAUCAGCAGUUUGCAGAAGUGCAUUGUUCACAUCAGGACCUCUAGAGGAAUAGGAUGCAACUAUGGGUGCCUGUGCGGUAAAUAAUGCUUGCCUUCCAUCCAAUAUUCUUGCUCUUGCAGCAAAAACCACAGCUUGUCCACUCCUGCUCCUGAUUGUAUUAGAGUUAUAAUACUCCCAUAAUGCCGAAGAAGCUUGCAUGUUGUUCAGGAUUAUCGCAGGGACUUGCAUGGUCAUUGUGGUACCCUUGAUCUGCUCAGAACCAAUGUCAGGGUCCAUUGUGAUUAUAAAACCUGCUGCCCCAAUCUUUUUUAUGGUGUCUUCAACAGUUGCUAUAUUUACAUCCUCAUAUUCAAAGGUAUAUGUGCAAAUGAUUAGCUUUUCCCGGACCAAAGAUUUGAUGAAGUAUACUGGAUGUUGACAGCUUUCAACUUCUACUAUAUUGGUGAUGUUCCCAUGUGAGACAUCAACUGCUGCAGCUAUUGGGAAGGGUGCUUCUCCUGCUGUUGAGGGGGCAAGGCCAGUGCCAGAGAAGCUUUGUCCAUUGCCUAGGAUGAUUGUAUUGUUAUACUUGCGAUCAGUGAUGGAGGCAGCAACACUGGUGAUCCAGGGGCUAAAAGAAAGGACUGAACUGGAAGAAGGGCCUCCAUUGCCAGCUGCUUGAACAACAAGAAUGCCAGCUUUUGUAGCAAAUAAAAGCUCCAUUUCUAGCACAUUGAGGAAGGCAGAAGGACCAGGAGGAACACUAGAAGGCCCUAUUGAGAGGCUUAGUAUAUCAACUCCAUCUUCGACAGCCUGAUCAACAGCAGCUACAACAUCUGACAUAUAGCCUCCGAAUGUAUACAGAGCUUUGUACACAGCAAUCCUACUAGGAGAAAAGGAAAAAAAAUGGAAAAAACCGGAAAUGAAACACAAUUGCUAAAAUGAGCACUAGAAUACAAUUUAGCAAAAAUCUAUUCAGAGAAGUUUAAGUUCUCAUUUGCCUUGCUCCAGGAGCCAUGCCACUUGCAUAUCCGUAGUUGAAGCCAUUGGCAAUCACUGGUAUUUUGUGGUUUCCAGCUGCGGUAGAUGCUGUGUGGCUUCCAUGACCAUCAGCAUCAAAGGGGGACGCAAAGUCCCGUGUGGCAUUGAAAUCACCAGCAUUAAUCGCAGCACGAGCAAAAUAAUGUGCUGCUACUAUUUUCCCAUUGCAUGCUGAUGGGGGGAACUUCUUUCCAGUGGUACAUUUUCCUCUGAAUUUGGUACUAUUUAAAGAUCCCAAGGACGAAUUAUUUGCGAAACUAGGAUGGUAAGGAUUUAUUCCAGUGUCAAUCAAACCUAUUACUACCCCCUCACCAGAACUCUUUGCUCCUCCUAAAACUGGCCAAACACCAGCGGGAAUCCCCAGAAAGUCAGGCGUAUAUGUUGUAAGUUUUUCCAUUUUGACAUCUUCAUGUAUGGCUCUGACUCCUGCUGCAUUCUUCAGAAUGCUGAAAACCUCCUCCGACUCGACAUGAACAGCAACCCCAUUAAGCAAGUAAGUAUAGCUGUAGAGUUUGGUGUAGGUGCCCUUCUGGAGGAGAGAUUCCAAAAACAGGUCAUGUCUAGUACUCAAACUCUCUUUGUACGCCAUAGCCUCUUCCUCAAUCCUACACAAUGUUAACAUACAACCAGUUGCAUGAUGACAGGCUUGACAGAAGAAGGGGAGGGAGCUUUUGCAAAUACAUAAAAGUAAAUAGAUGAAACCUGGGCUUUGUUUGCUUGGAUUGGAAAGAGAGAACACUUUCCUCAUCCAUUAGAAUCAUGAAAACUUUGGCUUCAACAGAUAGGGGGUCUAGAAGUGCGAUGAUAAAAGUGAAGAGAACUAAAGUGAAAGUGGAAGCCAUUGACUGAGCUGACUUCAGGUAGGAAAGCCCUUCUCCUUAAGUAAACCUGUGAGGACAGAAAUUAUUCUGCUUUCCCUAAGAGUUCAAAAAGCUGGAGUUGGAGACUUACAUGUCAAAAUUGAUGAGAAAUGACUUUAGGUGACAGGUUAAAAAAAUGCAGCUCAUUUCAUCUAUCGAACUUUCCCCCAUUACACAAAUUUGACAUGCAUGUCUUUCUUAUUUUCUAACAACUUUGAUUCACGUGGUUUAACCCAUCUCCUCCCUCCCUUCCAGCCACCCCUCGAAAGUGAAAAGAACACUGCAUUUUUAUGCCAUUGUGUUCCUUGGAAAUCCCUAGUAUAUCCUCUCAAAAAGCCACCUCCCAAGUGAUGAGUAUGCAUAUGCUAGUUCUUCCUCGUUUUUAUUUUUAUUUUUUAUUUUUGCGUAUUGCCUCGCUCAGGCGCAUGACUAUGACUUGCACCUAGAUUCCAAAACCCCUUGGCGCUAUAGUGCGCCUUGAACCUUUGAUAAGUAUGGAUCUCCAAUUGAAAUCCAAUUGGGAUAAGGGUAGGGAAGAUUUGUCGGUUGAGGAGUUUCCCCCAUUUAUCAAUGAAUUAAUACACACACACCCUUCACACACGCGGUCACUGAAAAUAUCUAAUUUCCCUUGGGAGAUGCAAUGUUUAGAAUCUCUAAAGCUGAAAUAAAGUAAAAUAGAAUAAUGUAAAAUAACUGCUACAUGCGAAUGACAGAUGAAGAUUAAGAUUAUCAAAAGAAUUACGACUGCUAUAGUUCUGAUCAUAUUUGAUGGCAG